GCCGAAAUAGCUCAGUUGGGAGAGCGUUAGACUGAAGAUCUAAAGGUCCCUGGUUCGACUCGGGUUUCAGCG
rnacentral:tRNA from 1 species